rnacentral:misc_RNA from 1 species
CUGGAUUGCUCAGUUUCCCUUCUAAACCAUUAGCAUCAUGAACAGAAUUACUGAUUAACUGAAAAGAAACUCUUCUGCCAAGGAAUUCAAGAGCACCAUCGACAAUUGAGGCAGUUACAUCAGUAAAAUCCAAAACAUUUUUUUUCAUUAACACAACUGUUCCUUUCACUUUUUCCCCAUCAUCUUUUCCAGUAAUGGAAUCCACAAUUUUGUUCAAAAUCAUUUUGAUAACUUUCUUAGCAAACAAGAAAAAAG